rnacentral:tRNA from 4 species
GCACUUGUAGCUCAGUGGAUAGAGCGUUGCUCUCCGGAAGCAAAGGCCGUAGGUUCGAUUCCUAUCAAGUGCACCA